rnacentral:rRNA from 1 species
ACUCCUACGGGAGGCAGCAGUGGGGAAUAUUGCACAAUGGGCGCAAGCCUGAUGCAGCCAUGCCGCGUGUAUGAAGAAGGCCUUCGGGUUGUAAAGUACUUUCAGCAGUGAGGAAGGUGGGUAUGUUAAUAGCAUAUUCUAUUUGUACGUUAGCUGCAGAAGAAGCACCGGCUAACUCCGUGCCAGCAGCCGCGGUAAUACGGAGGGUGCGAGCGUUAAUCGGAAUUACUGGGCGUAAAGCGCAUGCAGGUGGUUGUUAAGUCAGAUGUGAAAGCCCGGGGCUCAACCUCGGAAUUGCAUUUGAAACUGGCAAACUAGAGUACUGUAGAGGGGGUAGAAUUUCAGGUGUAGCGGUGAAAUGCGUAGAGAUCGUAGAA